AUGCCACCCCUUGACCGCGAACUGGACGCCGUCAGCCUUGAUGACGCCGCGGCAGACGGUGUUCUCCUUGUGCGCUGGGAGCUCGAAGUGGACCAGGAAGUCCUCAGGGUCGUGGCUGGUGAUGCGCAGCGGAUGUGGCGGCGUGUGGAGCUGCUCCUCGAUGGCGCGGCCAACCGACAUGAAGUUGGCGGCGUGUUACGGCGUCGCGGCCGUGAGGAGCACGACGUGCUUCCGGAGCAGGAACUCCUGGUGCUCCAUGGCCAAGGUGGCGACCACCACUUUGUGGCUCGGUCUUGGGAGGCGAGAGGGGUCGGUGAGGAAGGCCUAGCGAUCCAUGUCGGCGGGGCGUGCAGCCGGUGGUGGCGGCGUUGGGAAGCCCAGCCGUUCCCUCACUGGGCCGCGGGUGGCGCCGUCCGCCCCGCGCCUCUUCUUUGGGUUCUGCGGGCACUCUCUACCGGUGUGGCCCUGCAGCUUGCAUAUGAUGCAGCGGAGUGGAUCUCGGUUGUCCAUGCGGCGGCGCUCGCUAUUGAGGCAUCUGAAGCAGCGGCUAGCUAA
rnacentral:rRNA from 1 species